UACGGGGGGGGCAAGCGUUGUUCGGAAUUACUGGGCGUAAAGGGCUCGUAGGUGGCCAACUAAGUCAGACGUGAAAUCCCUCGGCUUAACCGGGGAACUGCGUCUGAUACUGGAUGGCUUGAGUUCGGGAGAGGGAUGCGGAAUUCCAGGUGUAGCGGUGAAAUGCGUAGAUAUCUGGAGGAACACCGGUGGCGAAGGCGGCAUCCUGGACCGACACUGACACUGAGGAGCGAAAGCCAGGGGGAGCAAACGGGG
rnacentral:rRNA from 1 species